GCAGGCUUUUUUGUUCAAGGAUAUCAUUAACUAAUUGUUGUCUGAAAAAAACAGUUUAAUAUUGUAUAGAAAUCUACGUAUGUUAUCAUAUAUCGAACGCUCUCUGAAAAGCAUGCAGUGUAGGCUCUUCAAGAAUCUUUAUAUAUAUAGACCAAACCUCUCAGUUUAUUGCACUUGUCUCGAUAUAUCUAAAUCAUUGUAUCGUUCUCUAAGGUUAAUCAAAACCAUGGUGAGUAGUGGGUGCAAGAGAUCUCUCUCUCUUAGGGCAAAGGCCAUCUUCCUUUUGUUCCUGAUCCUUGUUGCCAGAGCUGCUCUUGUAGUUGCAGCUAGGCCAUCUAAUACCAUGACCAAGAAGCCAAGAUUUGGAGCGAGCAGCACCCAUUUUCCACAGUCUAACCGUCCAGUUCAACCAUCGGCUCCUAAUCCCUGCAGUUACAUACCUGGAAAAGGCGAAUGCAAACCUCCCAAGUGAUGCUUCAGUAUCGUCCAUCUCCGUCAAGCAUAUAGUUAUAUACAUGGUGUGAAGAAGACAAGUGGAGAGAUCGUCUGCAUGGAGAGUUGGUCCAAUUAUGAAUCCUUUAUUUGUAUGCAAAUUAAUGAUAUUUAAUAAUGAUUUAUUUCCCAAAUUUGGUGUAUCUGAGAAUGUAAGUUUUAUGUAGUUGUUAACAAUGCUAGCUUGAAUGAAUGUCCUUUUAACAUUUUAAUAGAUUAAACCACGUUGCUGGCAAUAUAAAUUUUGACAUUUUACAUCUUUGAUUUUAGAAUAAAAUAAAUAUAUUUCUGUAAUAAAUGAAUUUAUGUUUUUUUUAAAGAACAUGGGACAUGUCCCACUAGUCUUUACUAUCUCCAUUCUCUUCAUCAUUAAAUAUUGCAAUAUCAAUUUCUAAGCUUUGCAGGCAACAUAUUUUGUUACUGCUGCACGCUUGCUUUCAUCCGUGGCUUCGAGCUUGAUCUUAAGCAGUGAGUGGCCCAAUAGCAUUAAACCCAACUAGUAGAUAAUGGGUACCCAUCUUAAUGUAAGAGCCCAAAUACUUCACAGAGCAACCCAUAACCACCAAGAAACCCACGUAUAAAAUGCCCUGAUAUCAACACUCUAGGGUUAGGGUUUCUCCCUCAGUCAUCAGUAACAAGACCAAUCAGCAGCAGAAGGCAGAAGCAAGCGAAAAUGGAACUAAUAAAAAAAGAGAUGAGUAUCUUCAAGAGACCUCUCUUUCUUGGGUCAAAAUUCACCAUUCUUUUGUUUCUGAUCAUCCUUGCUGUUACUCUUGUGAUUGCAGCCAAGCAAUCAAAAUUCCGAGCAAGCAGCAUGUAUUCAAAACAAAGUAACCGUCACGUUCAGCCAUCAGGCCCUAAUCCUUGUAGUUACCUGCCCGGAGCAGGCCACUGCAAACCUCCUAAGUGAUGCAUGUUUCAUAUAUAUCAUCCAUCAGCACACACAUGCAUGGGAUCAUAUCGAUGAUGGAAGUGGAAAUUAACAAGUGGGCGAUAAAGAGUGUGCCAAGGAGAGUCGAUUUAAUGAGUCCUUUUGUAUGCAAAUUAGUGAUCCUUAAUGAAUAUAUAUUUUCCUAAUUCGUGUUGGUCUGUAGUUUUGGAUGUUACCGAUGUUUAAAUAUAUAUUCAUUAUUGAAUUAUGAUAUGUGAUAUUUUUAAAAA